AGAGCGGCCUAGCAGGCUCUCGAGAGUGAGGGAGGCACUGGGGCCCCUGCCGACUGCCCUGGCUGAGCCAGCCCGGCGUGAACGAAAGCCCGCCCCUGAGACCCCGUGACCCGGCGGCUCCUAGCCACAGGCUUCCUGACUACCUUAUAGGCACCCAGUCACAGUCAGCGCUAGCUCUGUCAAUCACCGUGGGCACCCAAUCAUCACGUGCUCCCAGUGCCUGUGGGACUCCUUGACAGCACGGGCUCCUGGACACCAUGUGCUUCCUAUCACCGUGGCUCCUGAACCACGUGCACCUGAUCACCCCAGGCUUGAGCUUCCUACCAGCUUUUGGACUCUCCUCUUUUACCCUCAUCAAAAGUGUAAGAGCAGGAUGGAAAGGGAAAAGAUGGAAUAUUGGAAGAAGAGUUGAUGGAUGGGCAAUGACUGUUGGUAGCAGAGGAUUUUGGGAGAGAAGAACUGAGCUGGAGGAGCUCUGAAAGGAACUCGGGGCUUUUGGAGCUGAGAUCUCAAGGUGGCAGGAAGCAUUUUCCUUGCUGGAAAUCUUAUCAGGAGCCAACAGAAGAUUUUCAAGGGUCUUGCCCUGGGACUUCAUCAGAAGAGUGAUUCAACAUCUUAAUAUCUCUACAACAUCUAUAAAGAGAUUUUGGUUACUUCAGACCCGUGAGGAUCUUGGAUUCUUGGUCCAAAGGUCAGACUUUCUCUCCCUGUCUACUGCAACUGCUAUACUAUUCCUUGACUUUCAAUAUUUGGUUUAGCGUGAGAAAUAACGGGAAGGGUAGGUGAAACUCUGUCUGGCUUUGAAGCUGACAGAAUGAAGGACCUAUAGGGAUAUGGAAAAUAGGGACCCCUCUCUCCUCUAUACCCAAUAUCUAUUAAAACAAUUUCAUCACAGUCAUAUAUCAGCAAAGAGGAAUUAUUCAAAGGAGCUUAGAAAAAGCAAUGCAUAGAGGCUACUGAUCAGCCAUAGCUGAGUUUGAUCUAGACCGCUCCCCCACAGACUUCAGACUUAGGGGAGGCUUAUCUCCCUAGCCGGUUCAUGCACAGGAAUUUGGGGGUACCUUUUCUAUGAGCUUAUAGGGGAGACUUGCCUUCAACUCCCUAUCACCUACUUUCUACCAGGGAACCCCAUAUUCCUACGUUACACCCCUAGUAUCAAGACCCAGGGAGAGUAUGUGAGCGUGCUCAGUAGGAGUCAAUCCACCUAGACUUUGAUAGAGGCUGGCACUAGAGAAAAAGUGCCAAGCUGAAGAGUAUGUGAAAUUGAUCACCUCGAUGGGGGAGGGGCCCCAGGAGUAGAAGCCGGAUGCAGCCUCUGGCUGGUAGAGCAGUGAGGCUCUCUCAGUCUUGAGAAGGUGGGAAAAAGACUUUCUCCUGAGGGUUGACUGGAAAUCUUUCCCCCCUAACACUUCCCAAUUGAAGGGACUUCUGAAGAGAAACCUGAGCAGAUUUUACCUCAGCUCCUGUUGCCCAGGGGUG
rnacentral:lncRNA from 1 species